UACGGAGGGUGCGAGCGUUGUCCGGAAUCACUGGGCGUAAAGGGCGCGUAGGCGGCCUGGUAAGUCGGAUGUCAAAUUCCGGGGCUCAACUCCGGGGCGCCAUCCGAGACUGUCAGGCUCGAGCACGGCAGGGGCGAGUGGAAUUCCCGGUGUAGCGGUGGAAUGCGUAGAUAUCGGGAAGAACACCCGUGGCGAAGGCGGCUCGCUGGGCCGUUGCUGACGCUGAGGCGCGAAAGCGUGGGGAGCAAACAGG
rnacentral:rRNA from 1 species